UAGGGAAUCUUCGGCAAUGGGGGGAACCCUGACCGAGCAACGCCGCGUGAGUGAAGAAGGUUUUCGGAUCGUAAAGCUCUGUUGUUAAGGAAGAACGAGUGUGAGAAUGGAAAGUUCAUGCUGUGACGGUACUUAACCAGAAAGGGACGGCUAACUACGUGCCAGCAGCCGCGGUAAUACGUAGGUCCCGAGCGUUGUCCGGAUUUAUUGGGCGUAAAGCGAGCGCAGGCGGUUAGAAAAGUCUGAAGUGAAAGGCAGUGGCUCAACCAUUGUAGGCUUUGGAAACUGUUUAACUUGAGUGCAGAAGGGGGGAGUGGAAGUCCAUGUGUAGCGGUGAAAUGCGUAGAUAUAUGGAGGAACACCGGUGGCGAAAGCGGCUCUCUGGUCUGUAACUGACGCUGAGGCUCGAAAGCGUGGGGAGCGAACAGG
rnacentral:rRNA from 1 species